rnacentral:rRNA from 1 species
UACGGAGGGUGCAAGCGUUGUCCGGAAUCACUGGGCGUAAAGGGCGCGUAGGCGGCCCGGUAAGUAGGGGGUGAAAUCCUGCGGCUUAACCGCAGGGCUGCCUUCUAAACUGUCGGGCUCGAGCACGGUAGAGGCAGAUGGAAUUCCCGGUGUAGCGGUGGAAUGCGUAGAGAUCGGGAAGAACAUCAGUGGCGAAGGCGGUCUGCUGGGCCGUUGCUGACGCUGAGGCGCGACAGCGUGGGGGGCAAACAGG